GUGCUUGUCUCCGCAGCACAUGUACUAAAAUUGGAACCAUACAGAGAUUAGCAUGGCCCCUGUGCAAGGAUGACACACAUUCGUGGAGCGUUCGCUAUUGCC
ensembl:snRNA U6 U6 spliceosomal RNA